UCCGGUUGAUCCUGCCGGAGGUCACUGCUAUUGGGAUUCGACUAAGCCAUGCGAGUCGAGAGGGUUCGGCCCUCGGCUGACGGCUCAGUAACACGUGGAUAAUCUGCCCUUAGGUGGAGGAUAAUCUCGGGAAACUGAGAAUAAUAUUCCAUAGAUCUAGGAUGCUGGAAUGCAUCUAGAUUGAAAGUUCCGACGCCUAAGGAUGGGUCUGCGGACUAUCAGGUUGUAGUCAGGGUAAAGACCUGACUAGCCUACGACGGAUAUGGGUUGUGAGAGCAAUAGCCCAGAGACGAUAUCUGAGACACGAUAUCGGGCCCUACGGGGCGCAGCAGGCGCGAAAUCUUCACAAUGUGCGAAAGCACGAUGAGGGGAUCCCAAGUGCUGGCACGUAAGUGUCAGCUGUUUCUUAGUCUAAAAAACUGAGAGAGUAAGGGCUGGGUAAGACGGGUGCCAGCCGCCGCGGUAAUACCUGCAGCUCAAGUGGUGGCCGCUAUUAUUGGGCCUAAAACGUCCGUAGCCUGUUUAGUAAAUGCUUGGGUAAAUUGUGUAGCUUAACUAUACGAAUACCGGGUAGACUGCUAAACUUGGGACCGGGAGAGGCUAGAGGUACUCCUGGGGUAGAGGUGAAAUUCUGUAAUCCUAGGGGGACCACCAGUGGCGAAGGCGUCUAGCCAGAACGGGUCUGACGGUGAGGGACGAAGCCCUGGGGCGCAAACCGGAUUAGAUACCCGGGUAGUCCAGGGUGUAAACGCUGCUUGCUUGAUGUUAGUUGGGCUCCGAGCCCAACUAGUGUCGGAGAGAAGUUGUUAAGCAAGCUGCCUGGGAAGUACGGUCGCAAGACUGAAACUUAAAGGAAUUGGCGGGGGAGCAC
rnacentral:rRNA from 1 species